CACGUAGGGGGCAAGCGUUGUCCGGAUUUAUUGGGCGUAAAGAGCUCGUAGGCGGUUCGGUAAGUCGGGUGUGAAACCUCCAGGCUCAACCUGGAGACGCCACCCGAUACUGCUGUGACUUGAGUCCGGUAGGGGAGCGUGGAAUUCCUGGUGUAGCGGUGAAAUGCGCAGAUAUCGGGAGGAACACCGGUGGCGAAGGCGGGAUCCUGGGCCAGUACUGACGCUGAGGAGCGAAAGCGUGGGGAGCAAACAGG
rnacentral:rRNA from 1 species